rnacentral:tRNA from 1 species
GGCAGCAUGGUAUAGUGGUUUGAGUGUUGGAUUGGGAUUCUGGGAGACCAGGGUUCAAAUCCCUGCUUGGUCA